GGGGGUGGGGUGGGGUGGGGUGGGGGAGAGAGAGAGAGAGAGAAAUGCAGAGGCAGCAGCAGUAGCAGCGGCGGCGGCAUUGCUCCAACAAGCACUAGUCACUCCAGUCCCAGCAAGCGAGCAGGGGAGAGCCACACACCAACUCAGCCCAAGCCAAGCGGCGCUAGGCUACCUAGGACUCUCCCUGUGACACCAGAGCACACAAACACACACAAGGGGAGAGAGGAAAAUAUAAAAAAGAAGUCCAAUCAGGGAGGCAAAUUUG